CCUACGGGUGGCAGCAGUAGGGAAUCUUCGUCAAUGGGGGGAACCCUGAACGAGCAACGCCGCGUGAGUGAAGAAGGCCUUCGGAUCGUAAAACUCUGUUGUUAGAGAAGAAAGUUCGUGAGAGGAAAUGUUCACGUUUCGAUGGUAUCUAACGAUGAAGCCACGGCUAACUACGUGCCAGCAGCCGCGGUAAUACGUAGGUGGCAAGCGUUAUCCGGAAUGAUUGGGCGUAAAGGGAACGCAGGCGGGAUGUAAAGUCCGAUGUGAAAGCCUUCGGGCUAACCGGAGUAAAGCUUUGGAAACUGUAGAUCUAGAGUGCAGGAGAGGAGAGUGGAACUCCAUGUGUAGCGGUAAAAUGCGUAGAUAUAUGGAGGAACACCAGUGGCGAAGGCGGCUCUCUGGUCUGUAACUGACGCUGAGGUUCGAAAGCGUGGGUAGCAAACAGGAUUAGAUACCCCUGUAGUC
rnacentral:rRNA from 1 species